GGACUACCAGGGUAUCUAAUCCCGUUCGCUCCCCUAGCUUUCGCACCUCAGCGUCAGAAACGAGCCAGGACACUGCCUUCGCCUUUGGUGUUCUUCUGGAUAUCUACGCAUUUCACUGCUCCACCCAGAGUUCCAUGUCCCUCUCUCGCUCUCAAGUCCACCAGUUUUCGAAGUCCUUCACCAGUUAAGCUGGUGACUUUCACCCCGAACUUGGCAGACCGCCUGCGUGCCCUUUACGCCCAAUAAUUCCGGACAACGCUCGCCCCCUACGUAUUACCGCGGCGGCUGGCAC
rnacentral:rRNA from 1 species